AGAGUUUGAUCCUGGCUCAGGAUGAACGCUAGCUACAGGCUUAACACAUGCAAGUCGAGGGGCAUCGGGGGAGAGCUUCGGCUUUCCCGCCGGCGACCGGCGCACGGGUGAGUAACGCGUAUCCAACCUGCCCAUGGCUGGGGGAUAACCUUGCGAAAGCAAGCCUAAUACCCCAUGGCCUCAUCCCGGGGCAUCCCGGUUUGAGUAAAGGAUUCCCGGCCAUGGAUGGGGAUGCGUCCGAUUAGCUUGCCGGUGGGGUGACGGCCCACCGGGGCGACGAUCGGUAGGGGUUCUGAGAGGAAGGUCCCCCACACUGGAACUGAGACACGGUCCAGACUCCUACGGGAGGCAGCAGUGAGGAAUAUUGGUCAAUGGGCGCGAGCCUGAACCAGCCAAGUAGCGUGCAGGACGACGGCCCUAUGGGUUGUAAACUGCUUUUGCGCGGGGAUAACUUCCGCCACGUGUGGCGGCUUGCAGGUACCGCGUGAAUAAGGACCGGCUAAUUCCGUGCCAGCAGCCGCGGUAAUACGGAAGGUCCGGGCGUUAUCCGGAUUCAUUGGGUUUAAAGGGAGCGUAGGCCGCGCGUCAAGCGUGCCGUGAAAUGCCGUGGCUCAACCAUGGCACCGCGGCGCGAACUGUCGCGCUUGAGUGGGCUCGAGGCAGGCGGAAUUCGUGGUGUAGCGGUGAAAUGCUUAGAUAUCACGAGGAACCCCGAUUGCGAAGGCAGCCUGCCAGCGCCGCACUGACGCUGAAGCUCGAAGGCGUGGGUAUCGAACAGGAUUAGAUACCCUGGUAGUCCACGCGGUAAACGAUGGACGCUCGCCGUGGGUCCUAUAUGGUUCCGUGGCCAAGCGAAAGCGUUAAGCGUCCCACCUGGGGAGUACGCCGGCAACGGUGAAACUCAAAGGAAUUGACGGGGGCCCGCACAAGCGGAGGAACAUGUGGUUUAA
rnacentral:rRNA from 1 species